UCCCUGGUGGCUCAGUGGUAAAAGCAUCUGCCUGCAAUGCAGAAGAUGCAGGUUCGAUCCCUGGGUUGGGAA
rnacentral:tRNA from 1 species